rnacentral:rRNA from 1 species
CCUACGGGAGGCAGCAGUGGGGAAUAUUGGGCAAUGGGCGCAAGCCUGACCCCGCAACGCCGCGUGAAGGAAGAAGGCUUUCGGGUUGUAAACUUCUUUUGUCAGGGAAGAGUAGAAGACGGUACCUGACGAAUAAGCCACGGCUAACUACGUGCCAGCAGCCGCGGUAAUACGUAGGUGGCAAGCGUUGUCCGGAUUUACUGGGUGUAAAGGGCGGGUAGCCGGGUUGACAAGUCAGAUGUGAAAUCCUGCGGCUUAACCGCAGAACUGCAUUUGAAACUGUUGAUCUUGAGUACUGGAGAGGCAGACGGAAUUCCUAGUGUAGCGGUGAAAUGCGUAGAUAUUAGGAGGAACACCAGUGGCGAAGGCGGUCUGCUGGACAGCAACUGACGGUGAGGCGCGAAAGCGUGGGGAGCAAACAGGAUUAGAUACCCCAGUAGUC